CAAGAUAGUUUAGCGUUUUAUAUAUGGUUAAUAGUACGUUUCCACUCCAUUCAAUUAAAGCCGUGGUUUAAGGUAAUGUAAAAAAAGACCCUACCUUUAAACUUUAUCAUUUUACAACUAGUGACUCAAAUCUGUAAACACACUAAACGUGAUAUUUUAAAGAUCACCAAACUUUGAUAUAUUUUUAAUGUAGGCGUAAAGAUUGAAGUAUUUCCAUUGCUUGGAUUGGUGUGUAACUUAUUUAAGAUAUAUGUGCCCGCGUCUAAAUAUUUUUUAAAGUUGGUGUCGGUGUAUAGCAUUGUAACUUCCUUAUAAAAGAUUGACUUUAUGUCGAUUUUUUCUGUGAAAUGUUGAUACAAAUAAAUACAUGUUUGGAAUAUAAGUUCGUGCUACAUAGUUUCUCCGCGAAUUUAUUAUGAAAAUAAAUUCAUAUCUGGAAUAUAUAAUUAAACGCAAUAUGGAAUUAUUACAACUGCAUCACAGACAAAGAUAAAAAAAGGUGGUUUGUGGAAUUAAUAUAAUCCUUCAAAAGCUAAAUGGUGGAUCAUUCAACAACGUUGAAGAGGUGAAACUGAGACACAUUCCACAAGGAGAAUAUGUUCACAUUUAAAAUGUUCAAACGUGAUGUUUUAUACAGUGAAUAUACAGCGAACUUUUGUCUUUACUAUAAUAACUGAAAUGUUUAAUGCUGACAUUUUGUAAUAAAAUUUUAUAUUGGAUGAUGUACUGUUUUACUGUGCUGCAUUUGAUAAUAAAAACUAUGAUAAAAGGAAAUAAUCAAUGCUGACAUUUGACACUGUGUUGUGAUAGCGAUACAUUAUUAAACAUUAACAUUUAAUGAUAAAAAGUACUCAAAGGAAAUAUUAAAUGGUUAUAUUUGUUGAUAAACUAUAAUUUUAGUGUACUAUGCGUACAUAUCCAUUAUGUUUCAACCCUUCUAUGCAUGAAUAAAAACAGUGUUGUUCUGUCUUUUGUUAUUUGUUCAAAGAGGCACUCUCUAAACAUUUUACUGCAUAUUUUAAAUGACACAUAUGCUUCAAAAGAAAACAAAAUAAGUACAAUUUUUAAAACAAAGUAAGCCAAAAAUAUAUAUGAAAAAUUAAAAAAAAAAAAAAAUAAUUAAAAUAAAAAUAAAUGAAAACAAAAAUAAAUAAUAAAUUAAAAAUUAAAAAAAAAUAGAUGAAAGAACUAUAAAAAUAAAGCUAAAAAGAAAACAACAAAAAACAUUAUUAUUUCAAAUGAUUACGCAGAACCAAACUUUUGCAAAUGAUGUCGGAAAAUAUGUAAAUAUGUCAGUCAAAUUCAAUCAUAUUAACGUUAUUUUAAAGGAAGUACACUUGUGGUUUUAGUGAGUGCCUCUUUAUAAAAAACAUUACCCUUUCUUUUUGCCUAUUCUGAGGUUAUACUAAAUCGUCGCCACGGAAUAAUACAAAAUACUUUAUUUGAUUUAGUAAAUACUUAUACCUUUCACCAUGAUCCCAUAAGAAGACUUUACAUUACCGUAUGAACACGAAACUGUUAAUUAAGUAGUUGUUGAAGUGUAAAAGCAAAAAUGUAGUACAAUGUGCGUUGUGGCGUGUAAUGUAAACGAAUAUUAAACUUUUACGUGUGGAACUUUUAAGAACUUUUACGAUUAAGUCUCUUUGCGUUUCGCAUAUCACUUUUCUUCCAAAUGUAUAUAACAGAUGAAUAAGGCUAAUUGAAAGGCUAGUGUGUACAAUUUCAGCAUUGCUGCAUGUUUUCAUGCAUGAUGCGCAGUAUGUUUUUCUAUUAUUAGCUUAUCAUUAUAAAAACUAUUUUCGCUGAAAGUUAGUAAAAAAUCUUAAAGGGUGAUUUAAAUGUAAAUGAGGAUCAGAAAUCCUCGUGUUUUGAAAAUACAACAAAGCUGGAAUUUAUUCGCUACUGUUUCAUAACAAAGGUUUGCUGGAAAUUCUAAUAAUAAUAAUAGUAAAUUAAUUCAUUCUAGAUCAAACCCGAAAAUUCUCUUCCUACCUAAGGUGGCCACUGUAUAUAGAAUACAAAAGUGGUACACGUGCGUACGUCCUUAUUGUUCAAACGACUGUUUCGAAACUUUCUUAUUUAUAACGUGGAAGCACUUGAAUAGGUAGAUCAAAUGAGAAAUGAAAGUUAAGUACUCAUUUGAGUAAUUCUGUGUUUGGGGUUCACAGAUAUUAAUAACGUCCCCCGCAUUUCUCAUUUC